rnacentral:rRNA from 1 species
GACGAACGCUGGCGGCGUGCCUAAUACAUGCAAGUAGAACGCUGAAGGAGGAGCUUGCUUCUCUGGAUGAGUUGCGAACGGGUGAGUAACGCGUAGGUAACCUGCCUGGUAGCGGGGGAUAACUAUUGGAAACGAUAGCUAAUACCGCAUAAUAGCAGUUGUUGCAUGACAACUGUUUGAAAGGUGCAAUUGCACCACUACCAGAUGGACCUGCGUUGUAUUAGCUAGUUGGUGGGGUAACGGCUCACCAAGGCGACGAUACAUAGCCGACCUGAGAGGGUGAUCGGCCACACUGGGACUGGGACACGGCCCAGACUCCUACGGGAGGCAGCAGUAGGGAAUCUUCGGCAAUGGACGGAAGUCUGACCGAGCAACGCCGCGUGAGUGAAGAAGGUUUUCGGAUCGUAAAGCUCUGUUGUAAGAGAAGAACGAGUGUGAGAGUGGAAAGUUCACACUGUGACGGUAUCUUACCAGAAAGGGACGGCUAACUACGUG